CAGCAGCCGCGGUAAUACGUAGGGUCCGAGCGUUGUCCGGAAUUAUUGGGCGUAAAGGGCUCGUAGGCGGUUUGUCGCGUCGGGAGUGAAAACCAGCAGCUUAACUGCUGGCCUGCUUUCGAUACGGGCAGACUUGAGGCAUUCAGGGGAGAACGGAAUUCCUGGUGUAGCGGUGAAAUGCGCAGAUAUCAGGAGGAACACCGGUGGCGAAGGCGGUUCUCUGGGAAUGUUCUGACGCUGAGGAGCGAAAGUGUGGGGAGCGAACAGGAUUAGAGACCCCAGUAGUCCCUGUCUCUUAUAC
rnacentral:rRNA from 1 species